AAACAGUGGAGUUCAGAUACCACUAUAAAAACGAGGAGUAUUUCGAAAAGCCCAAGAGUAGAAAAAAC
rfam:Salegentibacter echinorum strain DSM 24579 genome assembly, contig: Ga0131147_105